AAUGAACGUUGGCGGCGUGGAUUAGGCAUGCAAGUCGCGCGAGAAGCUUUUUUGCUUGCAUUAGAAGUGGACAGCGGCGAAAGGGAGAGUAACGCGUGGAUAUCUGCCCCUAGACCCGGGAUAGCUGCGGGAAACUGCAGGUAAUACCGGAUAAUGUCUCCGGACCAAAGGUGUGAUUCCGUCUAGGGAUGAGUCCGCGUCCUACUAGCUUGUUGGUGGGGUAAAAGCCUACCAAGGCAAUGAUGGGUAGCGGGUGUGAGAGCAUGGCCCGUCUCACUGGGACUGAGACACUGCCCAGACACCUACGGGUGGCUGCAGUCGAGAAUCUUCCGCAAUGGACGAAAGUCUGACGGAGCGACGCCGCGUGCGGGAUGAAGGCCCUCGGGUUGUAACCGCUGUCAGUUGGGGAAUGCAUAAGGGUUCUC
rnacentral:rRNA from 1 species